CUCACCCAGGCGCGCCCCCAAUCCUCGUGCCCAGCUCGGAUUUCUGUCGUCGCCGCUCCCUCCUCCCCCAGACGCGCCCCCAAUCCCGUCGGCGACCAUCGUGCCGUCCCAUCGGCCGCCGCCGCUCUCCUAUCCCCCAGACCCGCCCCCAAUCUCGGCGCCGCACUACCCUCAUCCCGGCGCGUCUCGGCCUCCCGUCGGCGACCCUCGCGCCGUCCCGGACGUUGCGCUGCGCCGCCGGUAACUGCCCCGACGAGGACGUCCGUCCUCACGAGCUGCGGCGCGCGAGCGCUGGCAGGAGGUCGGCGUGGCGAGGGCCAGGCGCGGGUGGCGCGGGUGGCGCGAGGCGGGUCCAGGCGGCUUAGCACUUAGCAGCGGCCAGCCAUGGCGGCAAGCACCAUCAUGGGAGGUAACCCCCUAGUUCUCGUGUGCUGAUCCGUCUCCCCCCGCGCAUGGCGGUAUGGCGGUGCUUCAUCAGCCAGACCCAUGGCUGGAUCUCGAGUGGAUUGGAGGAGGGCAGCAGGUCUGGCAGCUCCCUGCUCCACUCUCCUAACCCUGCUACUAUUCUGCUCAUGUGUUCACCUCGAAAACCCCUAGAUCCCCUUUUGCAGCUGGCUCCAAAUUGAGUGGAGGCUACCAUACGGAGCAGUAUGCCUUGGCACAAUUCCAGAUCGGAGCGGAGAGUCCUUGCCUUCAAUCGCCAUCAGGAAAGGUCCAAAUCUCUCGCGAAUGCGACUACCUUCCAGUCUCAACGGCGACCUCGAAUCUGUUCCCCUGCGUCGGCUGGCGGCAUCCAUCCACCUGGGGCUUCAUUGUUGCGUUGCAGUGGCCGUAUUUCGUACUGGUGGCCCCGUCAAUCACCAUCCCCGUAGAGGAGGCAGGAUCCUACGGUGAGCUGCCGCAAAUAGGCAAUGAGACUUGGGGAAAUACCAAGUAGCAUUACUAGUGCACCUACAUUUGAGAGCAGGACUGGUAAGGCACAUGCCCUAAUAUGAUGCCCAGGCUCAUGUGCUGUCGGCCGAUUCAAGUUCUUUCAUUGCCAAUUCGAGACCAUCCGCGCCGAUUCAUCAUCCUCCACAUGAGGUCCUCCCCCACUCAAGCUGAUUUCCCAGCCAUCACCCCAACGUCUGCUCAAUCUUGGAUAUAUCGUUGGUAUUUCCCCCACCGGCGCAAGGUAUAGGUGACAAUCUAGGAGUGAAGGCUUCCUCAAGAAAUGGGCGCAACCAAGGGUUUGUCAAACUGGCUUACAGAGGCGCUACUGCUUUGUGGCACUGAGGCAACACAUCGAGUCAAAUUAUGAAUUAUAAAAUUUUUCAUGAUAAAGAGUCUUCUCUUUGGUCGAUAUGAAUUCUGGUGGCCACGGCACUGCUAUCCCUCCUGUAGCAUAGCACACUUUUUUUUGGUAACGAAUCCAAUAUUUAGUGCACCAGAUAUUCACUGGACGACCAUAUUAGCCAAAUUUUCUGCAAUAUUUAUUAAUUAAACAUUUAUGUUUUGGAUUGAAAACCAUUCAGCCAUGUGCAGAACGGCAAAGAACAUCCCACUUCGAACGGAAAAGUUUGACUUCAAUCAUAAAUACUCUGUUUUUAAUUGUAGGGCAUUGUUUGAAAUAAAAAAAUCUAAGAAUUUUAAUUAGGAAGACUCAUUUUUUGUGGCAAAUUAAUAUAUAAGCCAUUUAACCUCCAUUUGAAGCGAUUGCUUUUCUUUUACUCGUGUUGUGUUCUUUUAUUUAAUUCGUUCUUUGACUGGUGCUUUCUGUUUGGUUGCUAAACGUAAAUUAAUGUGGAUGGUUGACCCAAGCGGGACCACAAGUUCCAACGAGGCAGCGCUCGGG